rnacentral:rRNA from 1 species
UACGUAGGCAGCGAGCGUUGUUCGGAGUUACUGGGCGUAAAGGGUGUGUAGGCGGUUCUUUAAGUUUGGUGUGAAAUCUCCCGGCUCAACCGGGAGGGUGCGCCGAAUACUGAGGGACUCGAGUGCGGGAGAUGAAAGUGGAAUUCCUGGUGUAGCGGUGAAAUGCAUAGAUAUCAGGAGGAACACCGGUGGUGUAGACGGCCUUCUGGACCGUAACUGACGCUGAGACACGAAAGCGUGGGUAGCAAACAGG